rnacentral:rRNA from 1 species
AGAAUCAACGCUGGCGGCGUGCCUAACACAUGCAAGUCGAACGCGACUGAGGGCUUCGGUUCUCAGUUGAGUGGCGAACGGGUGAGUAACACGUGGGUGAUCUACCUUCGAGCGGGGGAUAACGUUCCGAAAGGAACGCUAAUACCGCAUGACGUUCUGGGUUUAAAGACCUGGAAACCAAAGCCGGGGACCGCAAGGCCUGGCACUUGAAGAGGAGCCCGCGUCCGAUUAGCUAGUUGGCGGGUAAUGGCCCACCAAGGCGACGAUCGGUA